rnacentral:rRNA from 1 species
UUAAGCGACUAAGCGUACACGGUGGAUGCCCUGGCAGUCAGAGGCGAUGAAGGACGUGCUAAUCUGCGAAAAGCGUCGGUAAGGUGAUAUGAACCGUUAUAGCCGGCGAUGUCCGAAUGGGGAAACCCAGUGCAAUUCGUUGCACUAUCGUUAACUGAAUACAUAGGUUAACGAGGCGAACCGGGGGAACUGAAACAUCUAAGUACCCCGAGGAAAAGAAAUCAACCGAGAUUCCCCCAGUAGCGGCGAGCGAACGGGGAGCAGCCCAGAGUCUGAAUCAGCUUGUGUGUUAGUGGAACGGUCUGGAAAGUCCGACGGUACAGGGUGAUAGUCCCGUACACCAAAAUGCACAGGUUGUGAACUCGAAGAGUAGGGCGGGACACGUGGUAUCCUGUCUGAAUAUGGGGGGACCAUCCUCCAAGGCUAAAUACUCCUGACUGACCGAUAGUGAACCAGUACCGUGAGGGAAAGGCGAAAAGAACCCCGGCGAGGGGAGUGAAAAAGAACCUGAAACCGUGUACGUACAAGCAGUGGGAGCACCUUCGGGUGUGACUGCGUACCUUUUGUAUAAUGGGUCAGCGACUUAUAUUCUGUAGCAAGGUUAACCGUAUAGGGGAGCCGCAGGGAAACCGAGUCUUAACUGGGCGUUAAGUUGCAGGGUAUAGACCCGAAACCCGGUGAUCUAGCCAUGGGCAGGUUGAAGGUUGGGUAACACUAACUGGAGGACCGAACCGACUAAUGUUGAAAAAUUAGCGGAUGACUUGUGGCUGGGGGUGAAAGGCCAAUCAAACCGGGAGAUAGCUGGUUCUCCCCGAAAGCUAUUUAGGUAGCGCCUCGUGAACUCAUCUUCGGGGGUAGAGCACUGUUUCGGCUAGGGGGUCAUCCCGACUUACCAACCCGAUGCAAACUACGAAUACCGAAGAAUGUUAUCACGGGAGACACACGGCGGGUGCUAACGUCCGUCGUGAAGAGGGAAACAACCCAGACCGCCAGCUAAGGUCCCAAAGUCAUGGUUAAGUGGGAAACGAUGUGGGAAGGCACAGACAGCCAGGAUGUUGGCUUAGAAGCAGCCAUCAUUUAAAGAAAGCGUAAUAGCUCACUGGUCGAGUCGGCCUGCGCGGAAGAUGUAACGGGGCUAAACCAUGCACCGAAGCUGCGGCAGCGACACUAUGUGUUGUUGGGUAGGGGAGCGUUCUGUAAGCCUGCGAAGGUGACCUGUGAGGGUUGCUGGAGGUAUCAGAAGUGCGAAUGCUGACAUAAGUAACGAUAAAGCGGGUGAAAAGCCCGCUCGCCGGAAGACCAAGGGUUCCUGUCCAACGUUAAUCGGGGCAGGGUGAGUCGACCCCUAAGGCGAGGCCGAAAGGCGUAGUCGAUGGGAAACAGGUUAAUAUUCCUGUACUUGGUGUUACUGCGAAGGGGGGACGGAGAAGGCUAUGUUAGCCGGGCGACGGUUGUCCCGGUUUAAGCAUGUAGGCUGGUUNUCCAGGCAAAUCCGGAUAAUCAAGGCUGAGGUGUGAUGACGAGGCACUACGGUGCUGAAGUAACAAAUGCCCUGCUUCCAGGAAAAGCCUCUAAGCAUCAGGUAACAUCAAAUCGUACCCCAAACCGACACAGGUGGUCAGGUAGAGAAUACCAAGGCGCUUGAGAGAACUCGGGUGAAGGAACUAGGCAAAAUGGUGCCGUAACUUCGGGAGAAGGCACGCUGGUGUGUAGGUGAAGUCCCUGCGGAUGGAGCUGAGACCAGUCGAAGAUACCAGCUGGCUGCAACUGUUUAUUAAAAACACAGCACUGUGCAAACACGAAAGUGGACGUAUACGGUGUGACGCCUGCCCGGUGCCGGAAGGUUAAUUGAUGGGGUUAUCCGUAAGGAGAAGCUCUUGAUCGAAGCCCCGGUAAACGGCGGCCGUAACUAUAACGGUCCUAAGGUAGCGAAAUUCCUUGUCGGGUAAGUUCCGACCUGCACGAAUGGCGUAAUGAUGGCCAGGCUGUCUCCACCCGAGACUCAGUGAAAUUGAACUCGCUGUGAAGAUGCAGUGUACCCGCGGCAAGACGGAAAGACCCCGUGAACCUUUACUAUAGCUUGACACUGAACAUUGAGCCUUGAUGUGUAGGAUAGGUGGGAGGCUUUGAAGCGUGGACGCCAGUCUGCGUGGAGCCAACCUUGAAAUACCACCCUUUAAUGUUUGAUGUUCUAACGUUGGCCCCUGACCGGGGUUGCGGACAGUGUCUGGUGGGUAGUUUGACUGGGGCGGUCUCCUCCCAAAGCGUAACGGAGGAGCACGAAGGUUAGCUAAUCCUGGUCGGACAUCAGGAGGUUAGUGCAAUGGCAUAAGCUAGCUUGACUGCGAGCGUGACGGCGCGAGCAGGUGCGAAAGCAGGUCAUAGUGAUCCGGUGGUUCUGAAUGGAAGGGCCAUCGCUCAACGGAUAAAAGGUACUCCGGGGAUAACAGGCUGAUACCGCCCAAGAGUUCAUAUCGACGGCGGUGUUUGGCACCUCGAUGUCGGCUCAUCACAUCCUGGGGCUGAAGUAGGUCCCAAGGGUAUGGCUGUUCGCCAUUUAAAGUGGUACGCGAGCUGGGUUUAGAACGUCGUGAGACAGUUCGGUCCCUAUCUGCCGUGGGCGCUGGAGAAUUGAGGGGGGCUGCUCCUAGUACGAGAGGACCGGAGUGGACGCAUCACUGGUGUUCGGGUUGUCAUGCCAAUGGCACUGCCCGGUAGCUAAAUGCGGAAGAGAUAAGUGCUGAAAGCAUCUAAGCACGAAACUUGCCCCGAGAUGAGUUCUCCCUGAGACUUUAAGUCUCCUGAAGGAACGUUAAAGACGAUGACGUUGAUAGGCCGGGUGUGUAAGCGCAGCGAUGCGUUGAGCUAACCGGUACUAAUGAACCGUGAGGCUUAACCUU